CUGGACAAUGUCUGAGAUUCUGCAGUUCCAACAAACUCUCAGGUGAUGCCCAUGAGGCUAAUAUGGAAACGGAUACGUGAGAUGUUUUCUUCCUAAUUUGUAAUACAAUGUGUCUCAACAGGGGGAAUGAGGACGGGGGAGAAAAGAAGGUGUGGAUAAAAUGUACAGAUUUCAUAUGCCCUUUGGGUGAUUCCAAUAUUCUUGUCGUCUUAAGAACCACAGAUAAAAGUGCCAUGUGAAAAAGAAGAGAGAUUACAGGUUUAGGAGAGAAGCGAUCAUUGGCAGAACAAGAUCCUAUGGAAGG
rnacentral:lncRNA from 1 species